AUAACUUUUCCAAUUCUUAUCAAAAUGUAUACAAUUUGGUAAAAAAACAAAGAUAUGAAAAAGACAAGGCACCUACAACACUCAGUAAUAUGUUACGAAUGUAUAAUUUUGGAUUUUUAUUUGCAAUUUUUUAUAUUCUAACAGACGAUCAUUAAAUAUGAUAGAUAAACAAGUAGAAAAGAAUAUAGUAAUACAUAAUACUCUCCUCAUAUGUAAUACUCUCCUUAAACGUAAAUCAAAUUGUUUAAACCGGAUAUGGUGAUUAAAUGUUGUAUCGGCAUGGUUUUAUCUGUCUACUUUGCUUUUUCAAUUUGGUUGCCAGCUUCAACCUAAUUCUUGAUUUAGAACUAUGAUUUUGAAUUAAAACAUUUCCGUGUUGAAUAAAAUAUUAUUUAUUCUUAACUGUAUUUUUUUUGAGGCUUCAGUUAUCAAAUGUUGGUGGUAAUUUUAGUUAUGCCACUGUGAAAGCGUCGAUUGUUAAGUAAACAUAAAAAGUUUGAAGUAUGCACAAAGCCUGAAAGUGUCAAAUAUGGAACCUAAAAAAACCUGCCUUUGCCACUGACUGACUAAAGGUUUUUUAAGGUAAGAGCUUAAAUGAAUUAACAGAAAAAAAGUAUUAUAAGUUAUACAUUUUUACACUAAAAUAGAAUAAAAAUAUAUAUUUGUAGUUUCAGUUUUUAUUGUCACAAAUAUUAAAUAUUUGUGACACAGAAUACAGAUAUUGAUGUCUGUCUUUUUUAAUGUUAUCAAUGCUAUAUCUACUGUUGUCUUUUUGUGCAUGACCUAAUUUCUUUUUAUAUCCAUACUUUUUUAAACCUGUUUGUCAAGCAUCAAGUCAGGUUAUCUUGCUACUGGUACCAUGUAGCAGGUUGUAUGCCAUUCAUACGAUGUUUGGGCACCUGUUUGUAAAAUAUUGCUGCAAAUCUUUUUGAGAGAGCCAUUACUAUGGAGAACCAUCUAAACCAUACAAGUGUGGAAACAUGAAUCAGAACAUACAUGGCCCGCUUUGAUCCUGAAAAACGUUCUUUUUGGACCAAAUGCUAGCUGGAUUAAUGUGAAAUAAACUGAUGAGUUUAUUUAACUUAGCUGGUAAAAAAAAGAGUUUUCGUAAAACAAAUUUAAUGAAGACACUUAUAGAAUGAAGUUCAUUCAUUUGCUGGCAACAUUUUUAAACGUGGUCAAGAUCGAAAAAAUCUGGUGCUAGAAAUUGUCGAUGGUGGAAGUGAUAGAUGCAUCGAACCUAAUUUGUAAUUAAUUUCUGUAAAUAAAUUUCACUUU